UGUCCCUAGUACGAGAGGACCGGGAUGAACGUACCUCUGGUGGAGCUGUUGUCGCGCCAGCGGCAGUGCAGCAUAGCUAUGUACGGACGGGAUAACCGCUGAAGGCAUCUAAGCGGGAAACCCCCCUCGAAACGAGACCUCCCUUGAGGGCCGUGGAAGACGACCACGUCGAUAGGCCGGGGGUGCAAGCGCGGCGACGCGUUGAGCCGACCGGUACUAAUCGCCCGAUAGGCUUGAUCGCUCCCGUGAU
rnacentral:rRNA from 1 species